AGAGGCGCCUGGCAGGCGACAUUCCACGGAGUCGCAGAGUCAGACGCAACUGAGUGGGGAGACUGAGCCCCACAGGUGGAGUGAAUUCCCAAAUCCACGCCCGGCGUGUACCUGGACGGGGCUUAACUCCAGUUAAACACAUCGAUGUGGGAACAGAGAUGAUACUGAAAGAAGAGUGGUUGCCUGACUGCGACACCACCGAUACCCAACUCUUCCAUGUUGCCAAGGUGGCAGACUCUUUACCGACUGAGCCACCAGGGAAGCAAGUCAUGUGUAAAAUCUCUGAUCUGUAAGCUGGGAAAAAAAGAUGUCAUAAAAUAAGUCCAUGCAAGAUGGCAAUGUGACACAAAUGGUAAGAAAAGUUGCGUAUCAGGUGAUUCUCAAAUUGGUGGUGAAAUCGGAUAAUGGAAGGAAAAAGAGAUGCUCUGUUCAGUGCCUUCUUCCUGAGAUGACGUAAGACCACUGAGGAGCUUCUCAGCUCUGCACUGUUGCCAUGUCAAGCACAGAACGUGAUGCUGGGUUCCUUUCUCCCCAGCUGGGGUCCUUAGGAUGGCACUGCAGCCCACAUGAAGAGCCGAGCAGAUGCCCAGGAAACGCUGGCUGCUGAGCUCCCAGUCACCUUCACUGAAGAAAAUGGUGACCGAAACUUGGGGCUCUAGCAAAGCUGUGGGUCAGCAUCCUGAGCACCUGUCCCGUCUGCAGUCGACAAAGUCCCGGGUGCUGUCACGGCACUGUCUCCUCAGCGCUCCUGUGGUGAGGUCAAGGGGUUCGAGGGCAUUCCGUCACAUAGUGCAUUCUCACCCUCUGCUCUUCCCACACGAAAGAAGCAGGGUGGGGAGAGGGAGGUAGGCCGCGUAAUAUUCCUAAUCCUGUCCCAAUUCUGACAUCAGAUUCUGCAGUGCAGUUCACUAUGGUUUCAAAGUUGUUUCUUCUGAAAAAACAAAGGACAACAAAUUUUCAUUACAUUUGUGUUUUUUGUUUGCAAAACAAAGAGACUGAGUUACGUCUCACCA